UUUCCGUAGGUGAACCUGCGGAAGGAUCAUUAAAGAGUUAGGGUCUUCUAGGCCCGAUCUCCCAACCCUGUGUUUACCAAACCAUUUUGUUGCUUCGGCGAGCCCGUCUUCACGGACCGCCGGGGGGCCUGUCUAGGACCCCUGGCCCGCGCUCGUCGAUGGCCCAAACCUUUAAAAUUCUUAACUAAACGUGUCAUGACUAAGUACCAAUUUUUAAUUAAAAGCAAAACUUUCAACAACGGAUCUCUUGGUUCUGGCAUCGAUGAAGAACGCAGC
rnacentral:misc_RNA from 1 species